rnacentral:misc_RNA from 1 species
AAGUCGUAACAAGGUCUCCGUUGGUGAACCAGCGGAGGGAUCAUUAACGAGUCAUAAAAAACUCCAAACCCUUUGUGAACCUUACCGCCGUUGCCUCGGCGUAUAGAGCUGCGGCCGCGCGGGACGCCACGCGCCCCGCCCGGCCGGCCAACAGCCUCGCCAGAGGACCAUCAAAACUCUGUUUUUACCACUGCAUCUCUGAAUUAUUAAACUAAAAUAAGUUAAAACUUUCAACAACGGAUCUCUUGGUUCUG